UUGACUUUAUUAAACACGUAGCUCAGAGGACACGGUAAGAAUAGGGUCUAAGUGACCCCGGCGGGCACCUGCGAGGCAGGCCGGGGGCCCCGCCCUGGGGCCGCCCGCCGAGGCAACGUACGGUAUGUUCACGGUGGGUUGGAGUCUCGCGACUCUCGUAAUGAUCCCUCCGCUGGUUCACCAACGGAGA
rnacentral:misc_RNA from 1 species